rnacentral:misc_RNA from 1 species
UAUGUUUAUAAUGAACCAAAUUUUGACCUCGCUAUGUUGAGAAUAGCAAAGGUUUUAGAAUUUUCAGAAUUUAUAAGACCUAUUAAAUUAUCGAAUGUAAAAGGACAAGUUGUGAAUGCCAAACUUUUAACGGCAUACUGGCCUAGAUUAUUAAUAAAUGGCAAGGUACUGCCAGAAAAUGCGAAUGAACGGCUGAAACCGAACAGCUUGAGAGUUUCAAAACAAAGUUUGAUACCGUGGAACAAAUGCUACAAACUAAGUCAGAUACAAAACUUUAGUCUAGACGCCUCCAGUCUUUGUCUAGAACCUAUUAUUUCUCACCACAGCCCAUGCACGCCUGACGCUGGAGCUCCGAUAGCAGCCGAUGACUAUCUCUGGGGCAUCACGUCC